GCGUCGGUGAUGCAACGGUCAGCAUACGCCUCUGAAAGAGUGAGAUCUGGGUUUGAACCCCGGCUGGCGCA